rnacentral:rRNA from 1 species
GACGAACGCUGGCGGCGUGCUUAACACAUGCAAGUCGAACGGUGAAGCGCCUUCCUUUUUGGUGGGUGUGGAUGAGUGGCGAACGGGUGAGUAACACGUGAGUAACCUGCCCCCUUCUUCUGGAUAACCGCAUGAAAGUGUGGCUAAUACGGGAUAUUCUGGGUCUGUCGCAUGAUGGGUCUGGGAAAGAUAUUGUUUCGGUGGGGGAUGGGCUCGCGGCCUAUCAGCUUGUUGGUGGGGUGAUGGCCUACCAAGGCGGUGACGGGUAGCCGGCCUGAGAGGGUGGACGGUCACACUGGGACUGAGACACGGCCCAGACUCCUACGGGAGGCAGCAGUGGGGAAUAUUGCACAAUGGGCGCAAGCAUGAUGCAGCGACGCCGCGUGAGGGAUGGAGGCCUUCGGGUUGUGAACCUCUUUCGCCAGUGAAGCAGGCCUGCCUCGUUUGUGGGUGGGUUGACGGUAGCUGGAUAAGAAGCGCCGGCUAACUACGUG